rnacentral:sRNA from 1 species
UCCUAAACCCGAUUGAAGCGAACACGAAGUGCAACGGAGUAAAGCGCAAAGCGGGGCUAAAG